rnacentral:rRNA from 1 species
CGGGGCGAACCUGAUCCACCCUGCCCGCGUGUGUGUUAAGAGGCCUUUUGGGGGUUGUAAAGCACUUCAGGGAGGAGGGAAGGACUUUAGUUAAUACCCCCCGAAGAUAUUGACGGACGGGUUACCCGCAGAAAAAGCACCGGCUACUCUGUGCCAGCAGCCCCCGGGGUGCCAGCGUUAAUCCGAAUUACUGGGCGUAAGCGCACGCAGCGGUGUUAAGUCCGAUGUGAAAUCCCCGAGCUUAACCUCGCUGGGAACUGCAUUUAAACUGGCUGGCUAGAAUUUGUAAAGGAGGUAGAAUUCCCGGUGUAACGGUGAAAUGCUAAAAUUGGAGAAACUACCGGUGGCGAAAAGCGGCCCCCUGGACAAAGACUGACGCUCAAAGGUGCGAAAGCCUUGGUGGGGAGCAAACAGGAUUAGAUACCCUGGUAGCCACGCCGUAAACAAUGUUUACUACUUGGAGGUUGUGCCUUGAGGCGUGUCUUCGGACUAACACGAUUUUAAAUCGAACGCCUGGGGAGAACAGCCGCACGGUUAAAACUCUCAUGAAUAUUGACAGGGGCCCCCACAAACGGUGGAGCAUGUGGUUUAAUUCUAAUGCAAGCGCGAAAAACUCUUACCUACGCUUGACAUCCACAAAAUCUUUCCAGAGAUGGAUUGGGGCCUUCUGAACUCUGACACACACGUGCUGCAUGGCUGUCUCACCUCUCGUUGUGAAAUGUUGGGUUAAAUCCCGCAACGAGCAACCCUUUUCCUUUUUGUUGUCCGCGAGUAAUGUCGGGGAACUCUAAGGAGACUCGCCCGGUGAAAACACCGUGGAAAAAGGGCGGAUGACGUCAAGUCAUCAUGGCCCUUUAACACCAGGAAGGGUUACACAUUGUUAUAAUUUGUAUUACAAAAGAUCCGCCUCCGCGAAGAGAAAGAGGCGAUCCUCAUAAAAGUAAACCCUUAAUCCCCAAUUGCUGCAACACCUCCACUCCCUAAGUCGGAAUCGCUAGUUCCAAUACAAACCCCGCUGGAAAACUUCCCCGGCCCUUUAACCCCCCCCUCCCCCGGGGG